rnacentral:rRNA from 1 species
GAUGAACGCUAGCGACAGGCUUAACACAUGCAAGUCGAGGGGCAGCACAGGUAGCAAUACCGGGUGGCGACCGGCGCACGGGUGAGUAACGCGUAUCCAACCUACCCUUGUCCAUCGGAUAAUCCGUCGAAAGGCGGCCUAACACGAUAUGCGGUUCUCAGCAGGCAUCUAACGAGAACGAAAUGUGAAGGAGAAGGAUGGGGAUGCGUCUGAUUAGCUUGUUGGCGGGGUAACGGCCCACCAAGGCGACGAUCAGUAGGGGUUCUGAGAGGAAGGUCCCCCCACAUUGGAACUGAGACACGGUCCAAACUCCUACGGGAGGCAGCAGUGAGGAAUAUUGGGUCAAUGGACGGGAGUCUGAACCAGCCAAGUAGCGUGCAGG